AAAAAAUGCAAUUCUGCUUCUUUAGAGAGCACUGUGACUUACAAAGAGUAAGAAAACUAGAAACUUUUGUUUGGUUUGCCAAUGUAUUGGCAGCAUGAUUGGGACAGAAUCCAGGUCGUGCCCCAGGAGAAAGCUAUUCGUGACACCAUCUCUUCGCACCCUGAAAACAUAUUUAUUAAUUCAGUGUUUGACGUGUGUUUGUAAUUACUGAUGUGUAUUUAUGGGUUUCAGGUGAUUUUUUUAAAUCUUAGAAUCUCUGCCCCUUAUUGAGGGUGGUCUUAAGGUAAUAGGACAUUUACUGAAACAACCUUCUGUACCAAACAUGAUGCCUUCUUUUACCUCCGUGGCUUCCAGCUUCAACCUGUACUCCAUGUUCCUUCCAGACUCUGUGCUCCAUCCACAGCAAACAUUGCAGCUUGCUAAGCAGCCUGUGCUGUUGCUUCUGGGCCUUUGCAUCGGAUGUGGUCCCUGCUUAACAGACCUUCCCUAGCUCUUUGCCUGCACACAAUAUUCAGCUCACCCUUCAAUUCAACGCAGCUAACUCACCUUUUCUUCUCUAACAGCCUCAUCCCCUCCCCUAGAGACUUAUCCACUUCUCUUUGUGCUACACUGGUAUACUAGGCAUUUCUGUCAUUUUUUUUCCUGUAUAACAUCCUCUGAAUGUAGCAUCUAUUUAGUAAUUAUCCUAUUUGAGGAUGGAACUGUCUUUAAAAGAAUCUUCAAGAUAUAUACAACCAAAAAUGGCAAACAGAGUAACACCUACACAAGUUUGGUACAGUGCCAGAAACACAUGCUUUAUUUUUCUGGACAAAUUAAAGAAAUUCACCUUUGGUCACGUCCACUUCUAUAUUUGGACAUUUUCAUGUGGUUUCUGGGUACUUCUCUCUUCUUCAUUCCUCUUGUUUUUUUUCCUGGCUUAUUUUUACAUUAGUAGUUCAAUUUUUAAAGUUCCUGAAACAAAUGCAAAAAGUUGGUAUGGUAUUAUUCAAAGUAUAAGAUCAAUUUGUAGAUCUUAGGAAAUUCUAAUUCUAUGAGUCACUUUACUUCUUCUGUAUGGGUCUCCUUUUAUUCACUUAAACUGUUAAUGUAACAAGAAUUUAUCUACUGAGUGAUUGCACCAAGCACCCUGUCCUUAUUCCUUGCAGGGAAAUAGUAGGAGUGAAGAAUCUCCUUAGUCAUUAUUUUAAAGUAUUUUUUUCAAGUCAGUGAAACUACAACAGUAAUGACAAAGUUAAAAGCAUUUAGAUUACAACUUCAAACAGUGAUUAUAUC
rnacentral:lncRNA from 1 species